rnacentral:siRNA from 1 species
AAUGAGGUGUCAUGCUGAGAACAC